rnacentral:rRNA from 1 species
AGUGAACGCUGGCGGUAGGCCUAACACAUGCAAGUCGAACGGCAGCACAGUAAGAGCGUGCUCUUACGGGUGGCGAGAGGCGGACGGGUGAGGAAUACAUCGGACUCUACUUUUUCGUGUGGGAUAACGUAGGGAAACUUAAGCUAAUACAGCAUACGACCUACGGGUGAAAGCAGGGGAUAUUCGGACCUUGCGGGAUUGAAUGAGCCGAUGUCGGGUUAGCUAGUUGGCGGGGUAAAGGCCCACUAGGGGGACGAUCCGUGGCCGGUCUGAGAGGAUGGUCCGGCACACUGGGACUGACAGACGGUCCAGACACCUACGGGAGGCAGCGGUGGGUAAUGGUGGACAAUGGGGGCAAUCCUGAUCCAGCCACACCACGUGGGUGAAGAAGGCCUGCGGGUUGUAAAGCCCUUUUGUUGGGAAAGAAAGGCAUCAGGUUAAUCCCCCGCUGUUCUGCCGGUACCCAUAGAAUAGGCCCCGCCUAACUUCUU